AUUGAACGCCGGCGGCAUGCCUUACACAUGCAAGUCAAACGGCAGCACGGUUGCUUGCACCUGGUGGCGACUGGCGAACGAGUGAGUAAUAAAUCGGAACUUGUCCUGUAGAGCUGGUUAGCCGCGCGAAACCCGCUUUAAUACCGCAUACAGUCUACGCGUGAACGAGCGGGCCCAUCCGGCCUAGCGCUACUGGGAUUGCCGAUGGCUGAUUAGCUAGUUGGUGGGGUAAAGGCCUUCCAAGGCGACGACCAGUAGCUGGUCUGAGAGCACGACCAGCCACACUGGUACUGAGACACGGCCCAGACUCCUACGGGAGGCAGCAGUGGGGAAUUUUGGACAAUGGGCGAAAGCCUGAUCCAGCAAUGCCGCGUGUGUGAAGAAGGCCUUCGGGUUGUAAAGCACUUUUGUCCGGAAAGAAAUCCUUGGCCCUAAUACGGUCGGGGGAUGACGGUACCGGAAGAAUAAGCACCGGCUAACUACGUG
rnacentral:rRNA from 1 species